UACGUAGGGUGCGAGCGUUAAUCGGAAUUACUGGGCGUAAAGAGUGCGUAGGCGGUUCGUUAUGUCUGUUGUGAAAGCCCCGGGCUCAACCUGGGAAUGGCAAUGGAUACUGGCAGGCUAGAGUGCGGUAGAGGGUAGUGGAAUUCCCGGUGUAGCGGUGAAAUGCGUAGAUAUCGGAAGGAACAUCAGUGGCGAAAGCGGCUUCCUGGUCCAGCACCGACGUUCAGGCACGAAAGCGUGGGGAGCAAACAGG
rnacentral:rRNA from 1 species